rnacentral:lncRNA from 1 species
GGCAUUAAAGAUGAUAAAACAUUCACCCAAACAACUCUAACCCAGAAAAGACUUAGUUCAUGGGUGGAAAAGUAAACAUCAAAAUAGAGUCAUUCAUCAACAUUUCUCAAUUAAUUUUGAAUCACAGAAAAUUCAAUCUAGAAAACAAAGGAAGAACUGCAAGAAGUUAAUUCCACACUCCAACUCCUCUUGGUUCUCUAGAUUGCUCGUGAAUCCAAGAUAGAUUUCUC